AAGAUGCUGCAGAAGUGGAAAUGGUAUAAUAAAGGGAAACCAGAUAGAAAACAAUUUCUAACUCAGCCUUAAGUGUCAAGGCUUCAUUUUCUCAGACCAGAAAUGCUUAGGUGUGUGGUGACCCCAGACUCAUGAAAAGAAGAUAAAGUGGAGUUAUCCUGGAUCAAGGAUCAGUUCGAUUGGACUGGAUUCACGUGGAAUGACUCUACGGCCCAGAGAGAGACACAUCGAAGAGGGAAC